rnacentral:rRNA from 1 species
ACGGAAGGCAGCAGUGGGGAAUAUUGGGCAAUGGGCGAAAGCCUGACCCAGCAACGCCGCGUGAAGGAAGAAGGCCUUCGGGUUGUAAACUUCUUUUGUCAGGGACGAAGGACGUGACGGUACCUGACGAAUAAGCAACGGCUAACUACGUGCCAGCAGCCGCGGUAAUACGUAGGUUGCAAGCGUUGUCCGGAUUUACUGGGUGUAAAGGGCGUGUAGGCGGAGCUGCAAGUCAGAUGUGAAAUCCCGAGGCUCAACCCCGGAACUGCAUUUGAAACUGUAGCCCUUGAGUAUCGGAGAGGCAAGCGGAAUUCCUAGUGUAGCGGUGAAAUGCGUAGAUAUUAGGAGGAACACCAGUGGCGAAGGCGGCUUGCUGGACGACAACUGACGCUGAGGCGCGAAAGCGUGGGGAGCAAACAGGAUUAGAUACCCUGGUA